CUUUCUUUCCCUUCUUUCCCCCCCUCUCUUUCCCCCCUUUUUCCUUCCGGCUUCGGCAACCGGGAGCGGCGGGGUUCGUGCACACGGUGCUGCGCUCGCACCCCGCGGCCGCACAGGGGCCGUACCCGGCUGAUCGCGGGGGGGGGUCCGGCAUCCCUUCGCCCCCGCGCCCGCAGCGCCGUGUUCCUCGCGUGAGAGCCUGUGAUCAGCGCCGGCCUCUCUGGGAAGCAACACCAGUCUCGUUCCAGAAGAACAAAAUAACAGCGUGAGGCUGAAACCUGGCACGGACCGGGGGAACGCGGCCAUCUGCCCCGCACCGCACGGAGCCCCGCGGCCGCGGAGUGGGCGGAGGGCGCAGAGCUCCGGUGCUGCCCUCCUCCUCCUCCUCCUCCCCUCCCUUCCUCGCUCCUUUCCCCGCUCCAUCCCUUCUUAGGGAAAAGCGGUUGAAAGGAGAAAGGCAGAGAGCACGAAUGGGUGCCCUCCCCGCGCUGCGUUGCCGGGGGUAGGAGGGGGGGGGGGGGGGGGCGGGCUCGGGCACCCCGGGGUACCCACGGAGCCUCUCGCCUGCGCGGGGCGCUGCGCGUGUUUUUGCGCGUGUUUCUGCGCGGGGCGCUGCGCGUGUUUUUGCGCGUGUUUCUGCGCGGGGCGCCGCGCGGGGCGCCGCGGGUGUUGUUGCACGGGGCGUUGAGCGGGGCGCUGCGCGUGUUUUUGCGCGUGUUUUUUAUUUUUGCGCGGGGCGGCACGCGAGCGCAGCGGGCGCGGGCGGCGGCUGCUUGCCCGCAGCGGCGGCUUAUGGAAAUGGGAUUUAAAUAGCGCAUCAGCGCUCGCUGCGGGGAUAGGAGGGAGCAGGGAGGGGGGGGACGGACGCGCAGUGCCACCGACAGAAGCUCCCCUAGCUCCUGGUCUCUAAAGGCCCCGCGCAGCGCUGCGCUCCUGCCCGUAGGAGCUCCGCAGACGGCUGUCGGGGCUGAAGGGGAGCAGCGUUGGACCGGACCGGGUUGUGCCGUGCCGGGCCGGGGGCUGCGCGCAUGGGAACGGGACUGCCGGGAGGUAGCGGGCAGCGGGCAGCGGGGCGGCCCCUCGCGUGUAACAGGAUUAUCGUGGCCAUUUCAAGUUCCAUGCAGCAUGUAAUUUAUUUUUAAUUAGGAUUAGGAUCGAGAAGGGAAGGAGACCAGACCGUGUCCCCCUCCCCUCCCCUCCCGCCCCCACAUCCCCCGUCCCCGUGAAGGCACGGCUGUGGCUGUUCCAAGAUUCCUAAAACAAUCAAUCAAUCAAUACAACGGACCCGCGAUCGCCUCCCACACUCUUUGCAGGAGAAAAGGGUGCAAAGAAAUGUAUUUUCAAUGUGCGAUCAUAUAUUCUGCUUGGAAAGCUCCUCGCCCUCCCCCUCCAGCCCCCCCCCCCCCC
rnacentral:lncRNA from 1 species